rnacentral:rRNA from 1 species
UACGAAGGGGGCUAGCGUUGCUCGGAAUCACUGGGCGUAAAGCGCACGUAGGCGGGUCCUUAAGUCAGGGGUGAAAUCCUGGAGCUCAACUCCAGAACUGCCCUUGAUACUGAGGAUCUCGAGUUCGGGAGAGGUGAGUGGAACUGCGAGUGUAGAGGUGAAAAUUCGUAGAUAUUCGCAAGAACACCAGUGGCGAAGGCGGCUCACUGGCCCGAUACUGACGCUGAGGUGCGAAAGCGUGGGGAGCAAACAGG